rnacentral:rRNA from 1 species
AGGAUCAUUAUUGAAAUAAACCUGAUAAGUUGUUGCUGGUUCUCUAGGGAGCAAUGUGCACGCUUGUCACUUUUAUAUCUUCACCUGUGCACCUUUUGUAGACCUGAAUAUCUCUCUGAAUGCUUAUUUUAUAAGCACUUGGGAUUGAGAAUUGACUUGAUUGUCUCUUCUUGUAUUUUCAGGUCUAUGUUUCUUCAUAUACCCUAAUGUAUGUUUGUAGAAUGCAAUUAAUGGGCCUUUGUGCCUAUAAAMCUUUUACAACUUUCAGCAACGGAUCUCUUGGCUCUCGCAUCGAUGAAGAACGCAGCGAAAUGCGAUAAGUAAUGUGAAUUGCAGAAUUCAGUGAAUCAUCGAAUCUUUGAACGCACCUUGCGCUCCUUGGUAUUCCGAGGAGCAUGCCUGUUUGAGUGUCAUUAAUAUUAUCAACCUUUUUGGUUGGAUGUGGGUUUGCUGGACUCUUGAGAUCAGCUCUCCUUAAAUGCAUUAGCGGACAACAUUUUGCCAACCGUUCAUUGGUGUGAUAAUUAUCUACGCUAUUGACGUGAAGCAAGGUUCAGCUUCUAACAGUCUAUUGACUUGGGACAAGCCUCUUUUCUAUUAAUGUGACCUCAAAUCAGGUAGGACUACCCGCUGAACUUAA